UGAGGAAUAUUGGUCAAUGGGCGAGAGCCUGAACCAGCCAAGUAGCGUGCAGGAUGACGGCCCUAUGGGUUGUAAACUGCUUUUAUGUGGGGAUAAAGUGCGUGACGUGUCAUGCAUUGCAGGUACCACAUGAAUAAGGACCGGCUAAUUCCGUGCCAGCAGCCGCGGUAAUACGGAAGGUCCGGGCGUUAUCCGGAUUUAUUGGGUUUAAAGGGAGCGUAGGCUGUCUAUUAAGCGUGUUGUGAAAUAUACCGGCUCAACCGGUGGCUUGCAGCGCGAACUGGUCGACUUGAGUAUGCAGGAAGUAGGCGGAAUUCGUGGUGUAGCGGUGAAAUGCUUAGAUAUCAUGACGAACUCCGAUUGCGCAGGCAGCUUACUGUAGCAUAACUGACGCUGAUGCUCGAAAGUGCGGGUAUCAAACAGG
rnacentral:rRNA from 1 species